UGGGGAAUAUUGCACAAUGGGCGAAAGCCUGAUGCAGCAACGCCGCGUGAGUGAUGAAGGCCUUCGGGUUGUAAAGCUCUGUCUUUUGGGACGAUAAUGACGGUACCAAAGGAGGAAGCCACGGCUAACUACGUGCCAGCAGCCGCGGUAAUACGUAGGUGGCAAGCGUUGUCCGGAUUUACUGGGCGUAAAGGAUGCGUAGGCGGAUUUUUAAGUGAGAUGUGAAAACCCUAAGCUUAACUUGGGGACUGCAUUUCAUACUGGAAAUCUAGAGUGCGGGAGAGGAGAAUGGAAUUCCUAGUGUAGCGGUGAAAUGCGUAGAGAUUAGGAAGAACACCAGUGGCGAAGGCGAUUCUCUGGACCGUAACCGACGCUGAGGCAUGAAAGCGUGGGUAGCAAACAGGAUUAGAUACCCUGGUAGUCCACGCCGUAAACGAUGAGUACUAGGUGUAGGAGGUAUCGACCCCUUCUGUGCCGCAGUUAACACAAUAAGUACUCCGCCUGGGAAGUACGAUCGCAAGAUUAAAACUUAAAUGAAUUGACGGGGUCAUAGCUGUUUCCU
rnacentral:rRNA from 1 species